AUGGUGGGCUGGAGAGGAGAGGAGACAGGAGGGGAGGAGAGGAGACAGGAGAGGAGAGGAGACAGGAGGGGAGGAGGAGACAGGAGGGGAGGAGGAGACAGGAGGGGAGGAGGAGACAGGAGGGGAGGAGAGGAGACAGGAGGGAGAGGAGAGGAGACAGGAGAGGAGAGGAGACAGGAGGGGAGGAGGAGACAGGAGGGGAGGAGGAGACAGGAGGGGAGGGGAGGAGACAGGAGGGAGAGGAGAGGAGACAGGAGGGAGAGGAGAGGAGACAGGAGAGGAGAGGAGACAGGAGAGGAGAGGAGACAGGAGGUGAGGAGGAGACAGGAGGGGAGGAGAGGAGACAGGAGAGGAGAGGAGACAGGAGGUGAGGAGGAGACAGGAGGGGAGGAGGAGACAGGAGGGAGAGGAGAGGAGACAGGAGGGAGAGGAGAGGAGACAGGAGGGAGAGGAGACAGGAGGGAGAGGAGAGGAGACAGGAGGGAGAGGAGACAGGAGGGAGAGGAGAGGAGACAGGAGGGAGAGGAGAGGAGACAGGAGGAGAGGACAGGAGACAGGAGGGAGAGGAGAGGAGACAGGAGGGAGAGGAGAGGAGACAUGAGGGAGAGGAGAGGAGACAGGAGGGAGAGGAGAGGAGACAGGAGGGAGAGGAGAGGAGACAGGAGGGAGAGGAGGAGACAAGAGGGAGAGGAGAGGAGACAGGAGGGAGAGGAGAGGAGACAGGAGGGAGAGGAGAGGAGACAGGAGGGAGAGGAGAGGAGACAGGAGGGAGAGGAGAGGAGACAGGAGGAGAGGACAGGAGACAGGAGGGAGAGGAGAGGAGACAGGAGGGAGAGGAGACAGGAGGGAGAGGAGAGGAGACAGGAGGGAGAGGAGAGGAGACAGGAGGGAGAGGAGAGGAGGAGACAGGAGGGAGAGGAGACAGGAGGGAGAGGAGAGGAGACAGGAGGGAGAGGAGAGGAGACAGGAGGGAGAGGAGAGGAGGAGACAGGAGGGAGAGGAAGAGGAGCAGAUAUGUGA
rnacentral:lncRNA from 1 species